AAGAAAGUGACAGAGUGGCUAUGUGGCUGGCUUGAAACCAGUUUAUGGGGGUUCAAUUCCUUCCUUUCUCG
rnacentral:tRNA from 1 species